UACGACUACAUAUCAGGCAUAUCAAUAAGCGGAGGAAAAGAAACUAACAAGGAUUCCCCUAGUAACGGCGAGUGAAGCGGGAAGAGCUCAAAUUUGAAAUCUUAAAGGGUUUCCCUUUACGAAUUGUAGUUUAAAGAAGUGUUUUCUGUUGGAGUUUCGGUAAAAGUUCUUUGGAAUAGGACAUCAUAGAGGGUGAGAAUCCCGUAUUUGACCGUUAUCCUUUCCUAGCUUUGUGAUACACUUUCAAAGAGUCGGAUUGUUUGGGAAUGCAGUCCAAAGAUGGGUGGUAAAUCUCAUCUAAAGCUAAAUAUUGGCGAGAGACCGAUAGCGAACAAGUACCGUGAGGGAAAGAUGAAAAGAACUUUGAAGAGAGAGUUAAACAGUACGUGAAAUUGUCAAAAGGGAAGCGUUUGACACCAGUGUUGUUUUUCCGAAAAUCAAUUAAGAAGGGCUUGAUUUUGUGUUGUAUUGACCUUAUCAGCUUUCUUCACUCUUUUUCGAGUCUUUCUUAAUGCACUUUUUGGUUAACAAGUCAACAUCAAUUUCCUUUGUUGUAAAAGGGUAUUUGGAAGGUGGCUUUCUUUUCGGAGAAAGUGUUUAUAGCCUUAUACCUCUACAAUCGGAGAGAUUGAGGUCUGCAGCGUAGAUCCUUCGGGGCUAGAUACACUUGUGCUAAGUUAUAGCUUUUCAUAGACAACUUGUUGACUAUGUUUAGUCAUGUAGCUUACCCGCUUGUGCUAUUUUACCUACGCUUAGGAUGUUGAUCUACAGAGCGAGAGU
rnacentral:rRNA from 1 species